AUGGAGUAAAAAAAUCUCAACUAAGGGC
rnacentral:piRNA from 1 species